GACGAACGCUGGCGGCGUGCUUAACACAUGCAAGUCGAACGGAAAGGCCCCUUCGGGGGUACUCGAGUGGCGAACGGGUGAGUAACACGUGGGUAACCUGCCCCUUGCUCUGGGAUAACUCCGGGAAACCGGGGCUAAUACUGGAUAUUCAUUUCUCCGGGCAUCUGGAGUUGUGGAAAGUUUUUCGGCGAGGGAUGGGCCCGCGGCCUAUCAGCUUGUUGGUGGGGUGAUGGCCUACCAAGGCGGUGACGGGUAGCCGGCCUGAGAGGGCGACCGGCCACACUGGGACUGAGACACGGCCCAGACUCCUACGGGAGGCAGCAGUGGGGAGUAUUGCACAAUGGGCGAAAGCCUGAUGCAGCGACGCCGCGUGGGGGAUGACGGCCUUCGGGUUGUAAACCUCUUUCAGCAGGGACGAAGCGAAAGUGACGGUACCUGCAGAAGAAGCACCGGCCAACUACGUGCCAGCAACCGCGGUAAUACGUAGGGUGCGAGCGUUGUCCGGAAUUAUUGGGCGUAAAGAGCUCGUAGGCGGUUUGUCGCGUCGUCCGUGAAAACUUCAGGCUUAACCUGAAGCUUGCGGUCGAUACGGGCAGGCUAGAGUUCGGUAGGGGAGACUGGAAUUCCUGGUGUAGCGGUGAAAUGCGCAGAUAUCAGGAGGAACACCGGUGGCGAAGGCGGGUCUCUGGGCCGAUACUGACGCUGAGGAGCGAAAGCGUGGGGAGCGAACAGGAUUAGAUACCCUGGUAGUCCGCGCCGUAAACGGUGGGCGCUAGGUGUGGGGGUCUUUCCACGAUCUCCGUGCCGUAGCUAACGCAUUAAGCGCCCCGCCUGGGGAGUACGGCCGCAAGGCUAAAACUCAAAUGAAUUGACGGGG
rnacentral:rRNA from 1 species